UUUGCCGGUGAGUCGCGUGCCGUCCCACGAGUCGUGCUGCCUCCCAGAGUCCCGGUUCACCCCUCCCACGCGCCGCACCCAAUCCCCUCCUCCCGCACGCCUCGCACCUAAUCGCCUCCAUGAACCCUAGCCCCCAAUGGAUGGGACGCCACACCCUCACUCCUCCCCAGCAGCCUCCAAACCCCCCGCCUCCACCGGAUCCAAGGCGUGCGGCCACGGAGGCGAGCCUCUCCGGCGACGGUGGCAACCUGCAGGCAGAGAAGAUGGGAGAGAGGGAGAGAAGGAAUGAGAGGAGGGAGGUCCGACGGCGGACAGGAGAGGGUCAGCGGCCUGUGCCGGCGAGGUCAGGUGUGACCUGGCAGACCUGGCAAUUGAUGGCGGCCACUCCUGGAUCCUUCUUCCACUUCCCCACUGCCUACCACCAAGCACGGGUCAGGGAGCAUGGGAUUGACGACGGCGGUCGAAAGCCAGGAUGGUUGGCUGAGGAAGAGGGUGAGGACUUGAGGAUUGAAGAGGGUUGCUAUGGAGACUGUUCUUUGCAAGGGUAAAGCAUCAUCAGCACUGGUGGUGGUUGGAUCAUUAGAUGAUUCCCAGUAACUAGGUAUGUCUUCUUAACCAGGUGGACAUUUCCCCAGAUUGGCUCCUCCACAUGUUUCAGACUGACAAAUCAUGACAAUCCUCUUCUUAAAGUACAAAAUGAUGUAGCUAUCUCCACAUGCUUUGAUGAUAUCUUUUUCGUAUGGUUGGAUGGUUCCUUAUCACCGUGAUUCAUAUAAAACUUUGUGAAUUGUAGUGUCAUGAUGAUUUCAUAAGACACAAGGCUUUAAUGUAUAUUUGGAAAGCACAUAAAUGUGAAGAAUCAAUGGUGAAAAUAAGUAAAACACUCUCUAUAUGUUUCCAUUGACAUGAUCAGUGGCUCCAUUUUCUUUGGUAAGUAAUGCUAGGCUACAGGUUAAUAUAUUUUACCAUGCCCAGCUGUUUUUCUCAGUUUCUCCUCUAAAACAUAGACAUCAUUUUCAUUCGGAUUUCAUCCUUAUUAGUUUUAUUUUAUAUGCAUUGAAUAUAACUAUGCAACUAUAGGUACAAGCAUUGCCAUGACAUACAUCCCAUUUUGAGUUUUAUUCAGUCCUCUGUCAUUGUUAUUGCGAUCUUAUUUUGCCGUUGUAAAAAUGGGGUAUAUGUCAUGGUUGUUUAACAGAAGGGAGGUGCAUAAGAACAGAUUUGGUGUUCAUCCGCAAUGUGAGUGCUUUCUGCAACUCCAUUUUGUCGAUAUUUUCUGCGAGACAUGAACACCAAAUCUAUUUAUCUAACAUGUUUUGCAUGUUUUGUCGAGUGCUUUCCUGUGUUUUUAUCUAUGGUCUUUUUUAUCAUAUCUAAUAUCCAGCAUUAUACCAUGUCUCACAGAAUUGCUGAUUCUGCACAUACACCUACUUAUUUUACUUCUGUGACAUGCGGUACAAUUUUUCUCUGGGUUGCAGGAUAGGCGAGGCGAUGAUCCAAAAAAUUGGAAAGAAUGGUGCUCCCAUGUUCUCUCUUAUCCAGGAAAAUCAAUACAGCAAAAUGUGUGUUUAAUAAACCUUGCAUUGCUGCAAAAAUUAAUAUUAUGUUUGUGAAUCUAAUGCCAUUGUGGAUAUCAUGAAGAAGAGGGACAUGUUUGUUGCAUUUGAAGGUGUACUUAUGAGUGCAAGGGAGCCUCGAGGAUUUGGGUUUGUCCAGUACUUCAAUCCUGAUGAUGCUGCAGAUGGAAAAUACUACAUGGACGGACAGGUUAUUUGUGGCAAACAAGUAACAGUUUUAUUUGCAUAACAGAACAAAAAGAAGCCUGCUAAGGGGUGUCCCGCGGCAGAUGCGCGCCCAAUGACGCUGUGGAGCUGUCAACUCCCACCCAGAUCGCCACAGAGAACAGUGAAGCAUCCUCCCUUCUCCCUUCCGGUUGCAUCUCCGCCGGGCUUGUCUUAGUGACACAGGCAUGCUGAAGCAAAGAUCCUUUUCCUUCUUUGCAUCCCUCAUUCUCUGUUUUUUCUCACAAUGAAGCACCUUGCUUCUCCACGGCAUUCAACCCAUGAUGGUGUGACUACAGAACACAGACUGAGGACAUAUUUCUGUCUCUUCGCCUUCUUGAUUACAUAACUGGGAUACUCAUUCCUAAUAAGACUAGCAAGCUCUAUGGAAUCUGCUGAUUUCCGAAGGCCUCUUUUCAGUGGCUUCGUUGAUGUGGAUUACAACAUCUUUACCUGAUAAACAUGGAAUAUACAAGAGGAAGGAGCAACUGCAGCAAGCAGUGAUGCUUCAGGCGCUGAUGUGAGGAUUACUGCAUUUGAGAGCAGAGGAAGACAAGCGUAAAACUAUCAUGUUCGCUUCCGCCAUUCAUGCCGAGCGGGAUGCGUGGCAGAGGGGAUUUCUUUUCCGCGAAAACCGGAAGAGAGGAUAUUGAAGCCACCUUUGCCAACAUAGAUGAAGAUGGGAGGAUUGGCCAACUUUGGACUCCAACGGCAGCGAUGAUGAUGAAGACUUGAGCUAUGACUAUGAGUCCGAGUAGUAGAAGAAUCAUUUAUGUUUUUGUGCUUUGUCGACAGGGAUUAGAUUUGUUACAAAUAGAACUCUAUGCUACCAAAUUUUAAUGUGCAUAUACUUUUCAUUGUAGACAGCAAGCCCCUGUUUUUCCAGGAGAUUAAAUUUGUUGUCAUAUGUGCUUGCCUGUAACUAAGCAACUAAACCAUGGAUUACUUUUCAUCGCUAACAUGGAAUCAGCA